rnacentral:rRNA from 1 species
CAGUAGCCGCGGUAAAACGUAGGUCCCGAGCGUUGUCCGGAUUUAUUGGGCGUAAAGGGAGCGCAGGCGGUUUAGUAAGUCUGAAGUUAAAGGCAUUGGCUCAACCAAUGUAUGCUUUGGAAACUGUUAGACUUGAGUGCAGAAGGGGAGAGUGGAAUUCCAUGUGUAGCGGUGAAAUGCGUAGAUAUAUGGAGGAGCACCGGUGGCGAAAGCGGCUCUCUGGUCUGUCACUGACGCUGAGGCUCGAAAGCGUGGGUAGCGAACAGGAUUAGAGACCCCUGUAGUCCCUGUCUCUUAUACC